AGUGCGAAGAAAUUUAUUCAAAUUAUGCUUAUUUCUAAUUACAGUAGAGCUGAAAUACACAUAUGUUAUGCAUAUGAUGCUUUGUACAUUUUCAUAAAAAGACAAAAACUAUAAAUAUUUUGUUUUUAGUAUUUAUUUUCCUGUUAUACAAGUGGGUAUGUCAGGAUCAUUGUAGAGUUAAAAGUUUGCAAACAAAGUCGUUAAUAUGGCUUUAAUAUGGCUUAAGCUGUGUUUUUUUUUUUUUUUUUUUUUUUGUCACCCUUCUUCUGCCAGAUCAUUUUCCUUUGAAAUUCAUCAAGUUUGGACUGCUUCAUUUGGCCAGGCCAGGGUUUGUCUCUCUGAAGAAUAAAUCCCAAAACACACAUUCUGUUUUAUGGAACCCUACCAAAGUCAUUAAUCCUUGAACACAUGAGGUAAUAAGGCAAUCAAUUAUGUGGAAAAAGCACCGUUUUGCAGUUAUGGUGAAACAUUGGGAAAUUGUACUUGACAGUCAAGUUGAGGAUAAAUAUGUUGUUACAGGUACUUUGUGAUAAAACGUAUUUUCACUUGGUGGAUAAUAAAACACAGGCAGCACCACUCAGAUAUUCUUUAGAUUGUAAACAUCUAUACGUAGUUGCAGUCUAAAGUGUUGUUUCAAGUGCACUUGUCUGUUCACAGAAACCCAAGGAGGAUACAUAUUCAAGAAGUAGAUGGAGAGAUAUCCCCUAGAUCUAGAAUGUAGAGGAAAUCUCAAGAAGAUUCAUCCCAAGGAAAUCUCAGAUGCUGCCUUUCUUUCUCUGUACAGGGAUUUUUCUGGGGGAUUUUUUUUUUUUUCUGGAGCAACUCAGGCAUAUGUGCAAGUUUUCAACUGCAACACAACCUCACAAAGCUCCGUCGUUACCCACAAACCACCUAAUCUCCAUGUACUUUAUCUGUUUUUCUCAUUUAAUUUCUUCAACAUUUCAGCUAAUCAGUCCAGACACUUAUCCAAAGAUCUUCUCUGGAGCCUGAUAUUCUUAUACACACACACUCACACACCAAGAUUUUAGAUUCAGUGAGUUUAAGAUAAAUAUGAUGAAAGAAAUGAUAGCAUCUAAAAAGAGAGUUCAGUUUGAAACUAGGCUUAUCUUUGUGUUCAGAUCUUUGAAUGGUACAUUAAAAAUGCAGUUCAUACAGUCAAGUGACCUCUUUUAUUAUAACAUUUGCCAUUUCA
ensembl:lncRNA